AGUCCCGACCCCGCACACCGCCAAACGGUCCCGUUGUCAGGGACGCCGGAAAUCGCUGUAGCAGAUGCUCUACGUUGCAGUUAAUUGAAGAAAUAAAUAUGCGAGACUGAUAUGCGCGCGUGGAGCUCAGGCGGCGCUAGACAAGCGGCUCGAGACGACGGCGAACAAUCGUGAUUCCUGUCUGUAUAUAGGUCAAGCUGCAAUUCAUCGUGGUUACGUUUGAGCGUCCGAACGAGUCAGCGUUUUGCAGAGUACAUAUAUCACAACGGCAAUGUUAAAGUAAGUGUACCAGAAAAAGGUGAGUGCAAAGAAACAUGCUCCCUUUAUUUGAUUAACAAAAAACGAAAGAGAAAGUAUUAAAAAUAUUGAAAAGAGAAAAAGACAUGUAAAAACGAGUAAUCAUAUUCUGAUUACAAUUAUAGAAGGGGGUGAAGAGAGAGAGAGAGAGAGAGAGAGAGAGAGAGAGAGAGAGAGAGAGAGAGAAAGAGAGAAUUUAGGAACAGCCAUGAGAAAGCAAAAGAAAACAAUUGAAUCUUUUUAUUUAAAAAUUAUAUGAGAGAAAAUAUAUAUGAGAGGAGAAAACAAAAAGAUUAAAACAAUUAAAAAUUUAAGGGAAAUGGCAAAAGUAAAAUUUUAUUUUCCACAAAGUAAACAAAAUAUUACAAUUAUCUUUCUGCCACAAAUUUUGGUAGCUAUAUUAAUUAAUGCAUAAAUGUUUUAACUUAAAACUUAAGAUUUGCUUUCUCUUGUUUCAUUAUUUCUAAUAAAAAAUUCUAAUUAUAGAAAGAAAUAUAAUAAUUUUAAAUAUGAAAAUAAAAAGGAUAAUAUGAAAAUUGCUAGCGCCUUACUUUGCAUUAGGAAGUAAAUAGAAUGCCUUUAAUGAUCUCUCACGCGAAAAAAGUGAAUCAGACAGUUGCAAUUUGUACGUGUGCAACUAAUUUACAUGCAAUUCGUGUUUUUUUUUUCAUGGAUGAGCGUGCAGUCAGAACGGAAAUCGGCUGUGGACAGUUUUCAUCGAGGAAGAUAAUCGUUCUCGCCUUUUCCAUUCCAUGUCCGCUCCGAGAGGAAUCGUCGCGCGCUUCACGCGCUCAAAAGAAGCAUACGCUUGCUCGACGAUGUAAUGCGUAAGACGUCGUAACGGCGCUCGCGAAUUAUUAUGAAACGCUCGACGGUUGUUAUUGCCGCAUCUAAUAUCGACUGGACUUAACGAGAUACUAGCUCGAGGCUUUUUCGAUCCCGGAUCAUGCCGCGAAAGCAGUUUUUAAUAUUGGAACGGUUAAACCGGUAAGCAUUUUUUUUAUCAGUCACAGAAACUAUCUUUGAACGGCAUACAAAUUUUAAUUUGUUUUGAUUUUAUAUAUUAAUAAUGAAAAUUGUGAAGAAAAGAGUUUUUUUUUCAUAAAUUGAAUAUAAGCAUAAGCUACACAUGAAAAAUUUUUUGUAUACACUGUAAAAUUAUGCACUUAUUAUACCCUGUAAAAAAAUAUUUAAAAUUACAUAAAUAACAUGGAAAAAUAAAAGAAUUUAAAAUAAAAUAUAUAAAAUUUUGCAUUUUAACAAAUAUGAAUAUGUUAGUUACCAAUUUUUAUAUUAUAAUAAAUACAUAUUUUUAUACUACAUAAAAAUAAUAAUAUUUUAUAACUUUUGUGUAAAUGUACACAUUUGUGUACUAUUAUAUAAGAUAAUUGUAAUAUCGCACAUACGUAUUUGCAUUACAUACAUAUGUAUUUGUAUUUUUACAUAUAGCAUUUCUUACAUCUAGCUUAAACUAAAUUGUAUUUUUUUAAUUGUAAAUUAAUAUAUAAAUUUUCUGUAAAUAUAACUUCUUUUUGUAAUUAUAAAUUUAUUUUGCAAGUCAUAUAAUUAUUAUUAAAAAAAAUAAUUUUAUUUGUAAGUUUUAUUCUAACGUGCAUAAACACUUUUAAUAAUCCCAAUAGAUCUCGAAUUUACUGACAAUAAUAAUUAUAUAUAAUUUAAUAUGUUAUAUUUUUACAGCGUGUAACAUAAAAUGCAAGUUUAUAUUUUUUAUAAGUUGUAAUAUGAAGAUUAUUAUAACAUUAUUACAUCUUGUAUGUUCGCAUAAUAGUAUCACAUAUUAAAUGAGGAUUGUAUAAGUUUCUAAUGAUCACAAGAUUAUUUCCAAUUCAUAUGUUUCCCUGUGGCAAUUAUGUAAUUUUCCGCAUUAUGUGUAGAAACGCGUAGAUCAUUAAUAUUAAUGGAUAAAUAUUCCUCACAUGGCGCUCUAGGGUCAAAAUUGUUUGAUCCGACUCCUCCUUGAUCUUUCAAAGACGUUUUAAUUUCAAAUCACACAAAUGCACGAGGAAAACGUGCACCAGGAAAUUGAAAAAAAGUUUUCUUGCGUUACAUAAAUUGAUGCGUAGACGAAAGAAAUGUCGAGAGAGGCGUUGUACGACGUCGUGUAUACCCGAGUUUUUGAUUAUUCGCGAUUGCGAUGAACGAGACUGCGCGCCGCAUUUCUGUACUUUGAUACGCGAUAUCGUACGAUUGACUGAUUGGCAUAAACACACAUUGUAGGCCUAUAACAUUGUAGGCCUAUUGUCCAUAUCUAUACUUCACAUUCAGUGCUAAGUACCGUUUGAAUCUGAGUUUUGUACGAAUAAGAUUUAAAAAGAUACAAUAAACGGAAUGUUUAGGAAAGAAUUUUUAAUAUUAGAUGUGAGGGGAAGAGAGCUAUUUGAACUUUUAAAAUUAAAUGUGAUACCAUAGAUAUAUACUUUAAUAUAUGUAUAUAUUUGAUAUCUAAAAAUUCUAUCAUCUUCUAUAAAAAAAACUUUAAAUUUAAUGUUUUUUAUUUAUCAGAAUAUAGAUAAUCUUUGCAGAAUAUUGUAACAAUUGAUAUACAAUUUGUAAUAAUUUGUACAUCAUAUUAUAUUUUCAAAUAUCGAUCUUUACGCAUUUGAUCUUAGCGGGUGGGAAUAAUUUAAUGCACUUGUGGUGCUCGUUAGCAGCACACGCACCGCUCGCGGUCGUUUUAUCUACGUGGCCAGGACCGGCUUUCAGAAGAUGGGUCUAUGGGAUUGCUGUCUCAGCACUGCCCUGAGGACUUUUUCAAGACCGAGAGAAAAAUAAUUACACGUUCUUCCUCUCUCUCUUCCAAAAUAUAUAAAUUGUAUAUCAAACUCAAGAAUUAUAAUAAUAAUUUAAUGCUAAUAAGAAUAAGAAUAAUAAUAUAUACAUGUAAUAAAAAUACCAUUAAUAUUUGUAGUUGUAACGUAAGUUAUUGUAAUUAAUAAUGAGAGAUAUUAAUUAGAUGAUUACGAGGCAUGCAAUGAAAUGAAAAUGUAUGCAGUGCUCGGCAUAUAUUCUAUUCGUGCAGACUUGUUUGUUGAGGUUGCAAAAUCUAAUUGGCCGACCAUUCUUAAGUCAAGUUUCGCGCGAGAAUUCCAAUGGGGAUUCGCAUACACGGAUUUUAUGAUUGCUUGAUCUUGUUAGCCGUUAUGCGCGCGUUGCCCAUCUUUCCCAAAGGCUAUUUCGUCAUGCGAUUAAUGUUAUUGUCACUAAAAUUAAUAUUCUAAGUACACGGCAUAUUGUAAUUUCAAAGUCCAAAUCAUAUUCUGUAUUAUCAAAUCAUAUUAUAAAUGUUUUGUAUAUAUGUAAUGUUUUUAUUAACAUUAUAUAUUCUAUAUAAUAAGAUUUAUAAAAUAAUUUCUAAGUUGAAAGACGAUAGAAAAGUUAGCAAUUUCAAUUAUAAUGUUAUAAAUAUAUAAAGAUAUGAAUGUUUAUGUGUAUUUUUAUUUGUUAGAAUUCAAUACAAUUGUAGUACAAACCA